UUCUAUAUAAGACGAUGCAUUGAGUUGAACUUCAACAGAUAGCAAAACGCAAAAGAAAAACAAACCAGAGAUGAAUAGCCUGAAAUUUAAAAGAGUCCUUAUUGCAUCUUUCUGUCUCUUCCUCCUCCAGUCGUACGCAGUUCAAGGGAUAGUCAGAAUCGGUUUGACGUUGGGUAAUACUUCAUUCAACAAAAACGGAGUGGGGAUUGAGACUUCUAACGGAGAUAUCUAUUACGGAGAAAUAACAAUUGGUACACCGGGGCAACGUUUCACAGUCGUGUUUGACACCGGAAGCACGAUCUAUGGGUACCAUCUGGAGACUGGCAGGGCGAGAAACCUCACAAUCUUUACGAGUCGCAAAGAUCAAGCACUUACAAACCAAAUGGAAAAAAAGUAGAAAUCAAUUACGGGUCAAGUUCUCUCACAGGCAUUCUAAGCAUUGACACUGUUGAUGUUGGUGGAAUUACAAUAACUGAUCAGUACUUCACAGAGGGUCGUUCUACUCCGGAAAGGGACCGACUUCGCAAGUCAACCUUUGAUGGGGUAUUGGGACUAGGGAGUCCUCAAAUUUCUAUGACAGAAACUACUCCUGUCUGGGAUUCGAUGAUGCAACAAGACAAGGUUGAAAAGAAAAUUAUCUCCAUAUGGUAUGGGAGGUCUAACGACGCUGGAGAAGGAGGAGAGAUAGUGUUCGGAGGCACAAACCCAGCUCAUUAUACGGGAGAGCACGUUUAUGUGACCGUGAGCGGGGUUAGACACUUCUUCCAAAUGAAAAACAUAUUCGUCGGAACCAUAGACACAAAAAAUGCUCUACAGGCUGCUAUGUGUUUGUUGACUCGGGCACUACAAACAUUCUUGGUCCACCGAAUAUGAUCAAGGAAAUUAAUGAUAAAAUCAAUGCAAAAAAAGAUUGCUCAAAUUAUGAGAACCUGCCUGAUGUAACCUUUACAAUAGAAGAAAAGAGUUACUCUGUCAGUCCACUUGAUGUAAGUUGAUUGAACGGAUAUUUUCUUUUCCUCCGUUUAGUUUCUUUUCCUCUGACUUCUGUUCUGUACUAUGGAUUUUCUGUAUAUACGUAAGGUGACCACAGAAAAUGACUGCACAAGUAGAUUCAAGAACAACGAUUUCUGGGUACUUGGCAUACCAUUCAUACGAGCCUUUCAUACGGUGUAUGACUACGAGAACCUACCAACUGUGAGAAUUGGCUUCGCUAAGUCGGUUCAGAUUCUUACUAGAACUAAGGCCUUUAUGAAUGUUUCUGAUAUGUACUGAUUGAUCAUAUGAAAAAGAUCACUAAUAUCAGCAAAUAAAUUUAUUUUCACCAUCAAAGUAUAAUAUGGUCUUUUAUUUUAUUUUUCUUUCUCUUAUUCGUUAA